AUGUCUCCGUACGCUGUGCUCGUCGCGGCCGUCGCCGUGCUCGUCGCCUUCUGCUGCGCGACCAGGAAAGCUCGAGGCAAGAACAGUAAGCUCCCGCCAUCGCCCCCGGCGAUCCCGCUGUUCGGCCACCUCCACCUCCUGGGCCGCCUCGCGCACCGCUCCCUGCGCGACCUGCACGCUCGGUACGGCAGCGACGGCGGCCUCCUGCUCCUGCAGCUCGGGCGCAGGCGGACGCUGGUGGUGUCCACGGCGGCCGCGGCGGCGGACCUGUACAAGAACCACGACCUCGCAUUCGCCUCCCGCGUGCUCAGCGCGCCGGUGCACAAGCUCUCCUACGGCUCGAUCAACGUCUCCUUCGCGCCAUACGGCGACGUCUGGCGCCGCAGCAAGAAGAUGGCCGUCGUCCACCUGCUCUCCCAGCGCCGCGCCGACUCGUUCGCCCCCAUGCGAGCCGCCGAGGCGGCCGCCCUCGUCGCGGGAGUCCGCCGCGCGGCGGAGGCCGGGGAGGCCGUGGAGCUGAGGGGGCUCCUGUACGGCUACGGCAACGCGGUGGUCACCCGCGCGGCCACCGGCGCCGCGGGGGCCACGGCCGAGAGAAUGAAGCAGCUGAUGGGCAACUCCGCGGCGCUCAUGUCGGGGCUCCAGGCGGAGGACGUGCUUCCCGACGCGGCGGCGAAGGUGGUGAGGUGGGCGACGGGGUUCGAGAAGAGGCUCGACGACCAGAUGGAGGCGUGGCACAAGUUCCUGUCCGAGAUAAUCGCCGAGCACCUUGAGAAGAAGGCCCUGAAGAAGUGUGACGACAUCGCAGGGGAGGAGGACUUCUUGGACGUCUUGCUGCGGCUGAGGGAAGAAGGCACCGCCGGACUCGACCUCACCGACGAUCGCAUCAUAAGCAUUGUUCAGGACAUGAUCUUCGCCGGAACUGAGACAUCAUAUAUUACGCUGGAAUGGGCCAUGGCGGAGCUCACGACAAAACCCCACACAAUGGCCAAGUUGCGGGCCGAGGUAACACGAGUCACCAACGACAAGUUGGCCAUCGAAGAAGAUGACCUCAGCAGGAUGGAGUACCUCAAGGCGGUGUUGAGGGAGGUGAUGCGUCUCCACCCACCAGCACCACUCCUCAUCCCACACGAGUCGACGACGACGUCGAUCGUCCAAGGCUACGAGAUCCCGGCAAAGACGACACUCUUUAUCAAUGCGUGGGCAAUCGGGAGGGACCCCAUUGCGUGGGGUGAAGGGGCGGAGGAGUUUUUGCCUGAGAGGUUCUUGGCCAACGGUAACGCGACAGACGUGGACGUGAGGGGAAACGACUACCAACUCCUCCCAUUCGGUGCCGGUCGACGACUCUGUCCCGCCAUCAACUUCGCGAUGCCGACGCUAGAGAUUGCGCUAGCUUGCCUCGUACGCCACUUCGACUGGGGUCUCGCCGCUGGCACAUGUCUGGAGAUGGGCGAGGCCCCGGGGCUGGCCACACCUCCGUCGACUCCGGUGCGCCUUGUCCCCGGAUGCAUAACAACUUAA
rnacentral:rRNA from 1 species